GACGAACGCUGGCGGCGUGCUUAACACAUGCAGGUCGAACGGAAAGGCCCUGCUUUUGUGGGGUGCUCGAGUGGCGAACGGGUGAGUAACACGUGAGUAACCUGCCCUUGACUUUGGGAUAACUUCAGGAAACUGGGGCUAUACCGGAUAGGAGCUCCUGCUGCAUGGUGGGGGUUGGAAAGUUUCGGCGGUUGGGGAUGGACUCGCGGCUUAUCAGCUUGUUGGUGGGGUAGUGGCUUACCAAGGCUUUGACGGGUAGCCGGCCUGAGAGGGUGACCGGCCACAUUGGGACUGAGAUACGGCCCAGACUCCUACGGGAGGCAGCAGUGGGGAAUAUUGCACAAUGGGCGGAAGCCUGAUGCAGCAACGCCGCGUGCGGGAUGACGGCCUUCGGGUUGUAAACCGCUUUCGCCUGUGACGAAGCGUGAGUGACGGUAAUGGGUAAAGAAGCACCGGCUAACUACGUG
rnacentral:rRNA from 1 species